rnacentral:tRNA from 1 species
GUUAAGAUAGGAUAAUUAAAAUCUUUAAGGUUCAUACCCUUGAUGAUGUUUCUUUCUUAACU